CCGAGCCAUGCUAUUGUUGUACUGUAUGACCUUCCUUGCUGCUGGAGAAGGUUUUGGAUAGCAGUUUAGUCUUAUCUUGCUGACUGUUUGCUCAAUAAAUGUAUACACACAUGAAUGGUAACACUGAUACACAGCAUGAAGAUGAGGAACGUCUAAUUACAACAAGUACACAUUGAGAAA